rnacentral:lncRNA from 1 species
GGGGGGGAGGAGGACGGGAUAGUGGCGACAAGAGUCUGGAGGCAGCGCAACCCCAACAGAGACUUCGGAGGUUUUCAAAGUGGGGCACCUCGAUUUCUCGAAUUUGUGGUGUGGCAAGUACCCGUGUUCCGCUGGUUUAACUAGCCUGUUUGGUUCUAUGCAACUUGUGUUAUUCAAGUAAAGAUGAUGCCAGUAAUCAAAUUACAGAAUCUAAUCAAAUAUUUAAUAUGCACAAUAAACCCAUGAAAAAAUGAACAGGACUAAGAUAAAGAAGAUCAGACAGAGUUGAAGAUGAGCCAUCAUUGGUGUUGAUUGAGUUGCCAAGCAGUCACCUGAGUCCUUACAGUUGUGUUUGCUGCCAAAGUUGAUGACUCCUGGAAUCCACACGAAACAAAGAGAACUGACUGCAGAAAGCUGUCCUCAGAUCUUCACAUACCCACUGUGGCACAUGUUGCAUGCCCCCACACAGUCGUGCACACAAUGUAUUAAAAUUGUUUAAAGAAACCCAGUGGUGUUUUUUCUUCUUGUUGAUUUUUGAAACAGUGUCUCACACACUAUGUAUCUCAGGCUGGCCA